rnacentral:lncRNA from 1 species
AUCCUACUGAACAGAAAAAUCACUGCAAGAGUAAAAAUUAGAGCCAGUAUUGUCUGGUUGUUUUCAAUUUCAAUUUCAAUUUCAAUGUCAUUAGGUUCUAGUAAGGGUACAGCAAUCAUGGGACAGAAGUUAAAGACUUUUCUGAAUGUAAAACUGUUUUGUAAAUUUAGCUUUGAAAUCAUGUAAAGGUUUUAUGUAAUUAAAAAAUGAAAGAAAAAAGAAAUCUAAAAACUUCAAAAUUACUUGUAAUUAGUGACAGAUCAGAGGUUAUCAGGAGUGAGUUUGGGAGGCGACUGAUGACAAAAAGGCAUGAAGAUAUGUUUUGGGUUGACAGAUAUGUUCUGUAUCUUGAUUGUGGUGGUAGUUAUACAGGUGGCACAUCUGUCAAGACUCAAACUGUAUACUUAAAAU